UAUUUUUGGUAGAGAUAGGGUUUCACCAUGUUGGCCAGGCUGGGCUCGAACUCCUGACCUCAGGUGAUCCACCCACCUUGGCCUCCCAAAGUGGCUGGGAUUACAGGCGUGAGCCACUGUGCCCAGCUGUGAUUGCUAACUUCUGAGGACAAUUUAAUAGUAUCACUAAGAGUAUAGUUCUUAAAAGCAUAUAAAAAUUACCACUACCAUGAACAGAAAGCCUGUCUUUCCAUGGUAGUUCAGAAAUUAAAAGUCUCCCUCUGCCUUUGUUUUUGCCACUGACAAGAUACUCUUCAAAUCACCUAAAAAUUGGUUGAUAGUCUAUUGCAGUAACUAUCUUUAAUGUAUAAUUUUGGGUUUCAGGAAAAAAACCUGACAACCUGAUAAAAUAUGGGAAAAUAUGUGAACAGUCAUAAAAGAAAAGAAAAUGGCCUUUAGGCAUAUGGAAAUAUGCCCAAUUCAAACUAUGAGAAAUGUAAAAUAAAACUAUAUGAAGAAACUACUCUCAGUUAUCAACUGGCAAAAAUCCAAGUCUCACAAUACACGAAGGGAAAAUUACACAUGCAUUUACUUAACACAGCAAUCCUGUGUCUAGAAAUCUAGCCCAAAAUACACUAAAAAAAAAAAUACUAAAUUACUUAUCUAUAGAGCUAGCUAUUCAUUGGAGUAUUUAAAAUGGCAAAAGACCCAGAAACAAAGAAAAUGCCUAUGAAGGCUGGGAGCAGUGGCUCACACCUGUAAUCCCAGCAAUUUGGGAGGUUGAGGCAGGCAGAUCACUUGAGGUCAGGGGUUCGAGACCAGCCUGGGCAACACGGUGAAACUCCAUCACUACGAAAAAUACAAAAAUUAGCCAGGCAUAGUAGUGCAUGCCUCUAGUCCUACGUACUUGAGGGGCUGAGGCAGGAAGAUCAUUUGAACCCAAGAGCCAGAGGCUGCAGUGAGCCGUGAUUGCGCCAUUGCACUCUAGCCUGGGUAACAAAGUGAGAACUUGUCAGAAAAAAAAAAAAGGGAGGGGCCAGGGGAUUACAGGCGUCAGCCACCACGCCCAGCCCAGGGGAUUAUUUUAAGUGACUUUGGAAUAUGAUAUUUUGUCUGUACAUCCUUACUAGAAAUGUAGUAUAAUGAGAAAUAAAGAGCAGCAAAAAGUCGUAAAUGCCAUUCAGUAGUCUUAGUGUGAACAAUAAUACUGGUAUUAUGAAAAUACUACUAUUUAAAAUAAAUCACUUCCUCUUAUUAUUAAUGCACAUUAGGAUAGGAAUACCCUGUAUUGGGAUAAAGCAAACAUAUAGCUGAAUUACUGUUGCUGGAACUGAGGCUUUCAGUGUAAGGGAACAGAUAUACAAAUGUAAACAAAGAAACUAAGUAUGCUAUCUGCAAUCUGAAUCUGAAAUGUCAAUGUAAACUGAUGAUCUUUUUCUUUUCAAAAAUAUGUCUUUCAUAACACUACCCACCAAAAAAGCAUAGGGACAGUGAGAGCCCAACAACAAAAAGUAUCCCUGAGUCUAGACUGUGGUCUCUAAAUAUCAUUUCCCAUUAAAAGGAACCAGGACUUCUUGGAGGAAAAAAAAAUGAUUCCAAGUCAGGAUAGGUACUGUGUAACAUAAGCCUCAAACAUUUUAUUCUGCUAAAAAGCAAGAAGUCCGGCCAGCACGGUAGCUCACGCCUGUAAUUCUACCACUUUGGGAGGCUGAAGUGGGCGGAUCACCUGAGGUCAGGAGUUCGAGACCAGCCUGGCCAACAUGGCGAAAUCCUGUCUCUACUAAAAAUACAAAAAUUAGCUGGGUGUGGUUGUGGGCGCCUGUAAUCCCAGCUACUCAGGAGGCGGAGGUUGCAGUGAGCUGAGAUUGUGCCACUGCACUCCAGCCUGGGUGACAGAGCAAGACCCUGUCUCAAAAAAAAAAAAAAAAAAAAAAAAAACAAAAACCCAAAAUCCCCAAAACUCCAUAUUACAGUCUCCAAAUAAAUAACUGAUUCUGGGCCAGGUGGGUGGCUCACACCUGCAGUCUCAGCACUUUGGGAGGCCGAGGUGGGAAAAAAGCUAUCAGGCAUCAAAGAGUAUAUACUGUAUGGUUCCAGUAAUUUUUUUAAAAAAGGCAAACCAAUCAGUGGUGAUAGAAGUCAGAAUAGUCAGUACCUUUGUUGGGCUAGGUGUAGUGGUAGCUAAAAGGGGGCACGAUAUGGUAACACAGAUGUGUUAACUUCGUAAACAUCCAUCAAGUUAUUCACUUAAUAUUUAUAAACUUUACUGCAGGUUAUAUUUCAAUUUUUUAAAGUUGCUGGGUGCAGUAGCUCAUGCCUGUAAUCCCAGCACUUUUGAGAGGCAGAGGCGGGAGGAUGGCUUGAGCCCAGGAGUUCGAGACUGGCCUGGGCAACACAGUGAGACCUUGUCUCUACUUACUUGUUUACUAAAUAAAUAAAUAAAUAAGCUGGGCAUGGUGGUGCACACCUGUAGUCUCAGCUACUUGGAAGGCUGAGGUGGGAGGAUCACUUGACCCUGGGAGGUCAAGCCUGCAGUGAGCCAUGAUCACGUCACUGUACUCCAGCCUGGGUGAAAGAGUGAGACUCUCUCUCAAAAAAAAACUUUACCAAAAAUAUCUUAACAUCCAAAAUGCUUUCCAAUCUGACAGUUAUCUUUUGUCGAUAAGUUUUAAUCAUUAAAUUAGGUGCCUAAAUACAUUCUGAAAGUUUAGAAAAGAAAACCAAGUAAGAUGUCUUCUAUCACGGCUAUUGUUCUUAGUCUGCCUUUAACAAUUCUCCCACCCCAAUUCUUCUAACAAGGCAUCUCAUCCACUGACCAUAGGUAGUAAACAGUGGUAACAGAGUUUGGUCCAGGGACAUCACAAAGUGUCUAGCACAUAGCCAGGCACAUUGUAGGGCACUCAAUAAAUAGCUGUUGAAUAAAUAACUGCAUAGAGAGCCACAGAAACAGAAGGAAGCAGGUGAAGGUCAGAACUCUAUUAAGUCCGUCUACUGCCCACUAGAAUGUAAGUCACCAAGGGCCCAGACCUUAUCUAUUUUGGUCACUGAUACAUCUCCGUUAGUAUAUUCUGAAGUCAGGGACCUAUUAAAAUGUUUAUCUACUUUACAAAAGUACCAAACUCCUCUUUAAAAUCUGGUAUGAUAUAUUUAAUAAAGUCUUUUAAAAUGCUUUUCAUGUUUGAUCAUUGUUUUGUUUUUUACUCUACUCAAGAAGAGAACUAUGAGUUAUUAAAUGGGAAGGUUUUGAAUUUGUAGGUACAGCAUCUUCAGCUGUCCAACACUCUCACCCUGCUAAUGACCCAAAUUCCCCUCUGAUGCCGGCCACUGACAGUUGCUAUAUUUGCUCCCAUUCUAGUUUCCUUGAAACUUCUUGCUUAUGUUUUCAUAUAAAUAUAUUUUCUUUUUCUCUUUUUUUACUUUUUUAAGAUGAAGUCUUGCUCUGUCGCCCAGGCUGGAGUGCAGUGAUACGAUCUCAGCUCACUGCAACCUCUACCUCGUGGGUUCAAGUGAUCCUCCUGCCUCAGCCACCCAAGUAGCUGGGAUUACAGGCGCAUGAUAUCAUGUCCAGCUAAUUUUUGCAUUUUCAGUAGACACGGGGUUUCAACAUGUUGGUCAGGCUGGUCUCGAACUCCUGACCUCAGGUGAUCUGCCCGCCUAGGCCUCCCAAAGUGCUGGGAUUACAGGCAUGAACCACCACACCUGGCCCUGUUCUUGAUCUUAAUGAUCAAUCUCUCAUCAGUAUAAAGUAAGGUGGACUUACUGCUGAUUGCUGUGGUUCUUCUGGAGCUUACACUUACAUCCCUAUCUGUAGCGCCCUGUUAAACUGGUGUUUUCAGCAACACAGCUCACUGCUGACCAGUACUCAAAUGGAAGUCGUCCCCAUAAGAACUGCAGGUUGUCAAAAUCCUUCAUGUUAUGCAACAGGACACUCUUGGUGUGCUAUAACUUACUUGGAGUAUAACUUUAAUUUUAAAAACUGAAAAUGUGAAUUACUGGUCAACUUACAUUUUUAUGUCAAAAUACAUCUGACAACAAUGUUCUGUGAUAAUGAUUUUCUACCAUAAUACUACGGUUUGAAAUGCUAUAAAUAUUACACGAGCACAUGCAAACAUAAAAUUAAUUUGUUAGUAUCUACAGAACUGGAAAGGUCAGAUCAUUCAACAUUGAGCCAUUAGUACAUAAGUAAUUAAAACCAAAAUAUCUGCCACUAUGGUCUGGUGAUAAAAUAUAAAAAUAAAUCUAUUAAACAAAAACAGCUAAAUGAAGUUUAAGAAGCAUGAAAAUUAUGAUGAGUUUCAAGCACUAACUGCGAGGACAUUUAUCAAACUCCAAAUGUUAGGUGACAAUUUAGCAAAUGGGGAUGGCACUGUAAGCAAGCAGCAUGAAUGAACACAUAGUUUAAGGUUUUAGGUGACAUUCGGCUUUUACUACAAAAGGGAAGGAUUCCCCC
rnacentral:lncRNA from 10 species